GACGAACGCUGGCGGCGUGCUUAACACAUGCAAGUCGAACGGAAAGGCCCUGCUUUUGUGGGGUGCUCGAGUGGCGAACGGGUGAGUAACACGUGAGUAACCUGCCCUUGACUUUGGGAUAACUUCAGGAAACUGGGGCUAAUACCGGAUAUGAGCUCCUGCUGCUUGGUGGGGGUUGGAAAGUUUCGGCGGUUGGGGAUGGACUCGCGGCUUAUCAGCUUGUUGGUGGGGUAGUGGCUUACCAAGGCUUUGACGGGUAGCCGGCCUGAGCGGGUGACCGGCCACAUUGGGACUGAGAUACGGCCCAGACUCCUACGGGAGGCAGCAGUGGGGAAUAUUGCACAAUGGGCGGAAGCCUGAUGCAGCAACGCCGCGUGCGGGAUGACGGCCUUCGGGUUGUAAACCGCUUUCGCCUGUGACGAAGCGUGAGUGACGGUAAUGGGUAAAGAAGCACCGGCUAACUACGUG
rnacentral:rRNA from 1 species